GGCGGUGUAGCUCAAUGGGCGAGCAGCAGGCUUCUGCCUGAAGAUCCCGGUUCGAUUUCGGGCAUCGCUA
rnacentral:tRNA from 1 species